rnacentral:rRNA from 1 species
GUUGCUUUGGCAGACCCGGCUUCGGCCCACCGGCUCCGGCUGGUCAGUGUCUGCCAGAGGACCUAAAACUCUGUUUGUUAAUAUUGUCUGAGUACUAUAUAAUAGUUAAAACUUUCAACAACGGAUCUCUUGGUUCUGGCAUCGAUGAAGAACGCAGCGAAAUGCGAUAAGUAAUGUGAAUUGCAGAAUUCAGUGAAUCAUCGAAUCUUUGAACGCACAUUGCGCCCUCUGGUAUUCCGGGGGGCAUGCCUGUUCGAGCGUCAUUACAACCCUCAAGCUUUGCUUGGUAUUGGACAUUGCCAGUUUCUGGCAGGUCUUAAAAUCAGUGGCGGUGCCAUUUGGCUUCAAGCGUAGUAAUUCUUCUCGCUUUGGAGAUCCAAGUGGUUACUUGCCAAUAACCCCCAAUUUUUUCAGGUUGACCUCGGAUCAGGUAGGGAUACCCGCUGAACUUAAGCAUAUCAAU